rnacentral:rRNA from 1 species
UACAGAGGGUGCGAGCGUUAAUCGGAAUUACUGGGCGUAAAGCGCGCGUAGGCGGCUUUGCAAGUCGGGUGUGAAAUCCCCAGGCUUAACUGGACUGGACAUUCGAGACUGCAUUGCUAGAGUAUGGGAGAGGGAAGUGGAAUUUCCGGUGUAGCAGUGAAAUGCGUAGAUAUCGGAAGGAACAUCAGUGGCGAAAGCGACUUCCUGGACCAAUACUGACGCUCAUGUGCGAAAGCGUGGGGAGCAAACAGG